CACGUAGGGUGCGAGCGUUGUCCGGAAUUAUUGGGCGUAAAGAGCUCGUAGGCGGCUCGUUGCGUCGGCUGUGAAAACCCGCAGCUCAACUGUGGGCUUGCAGCCGAUACGGGCGGGCUGGAGUUCGGUAGGGGAGACUGGAGUUCCUGGUGUAGCGGUGAAAUGCGCAGAUAUCAGGAGGAACACCGGUGGCGAAGGCGGGUCUCUGGGCCGAUACUGACGCUGAGACGCGAAAGCGUGGGGAGCGAACAGG
rnacentral:rRNA from 1 species